UUUUCUGGUCUCUAUGUUUUUGGUUGAACGGGUUUCUCAAUUUCUUUAAUAGGUUUUUGCAUUCUUCAUCAAACCAUUUGUCAUUGCUGUUCAUUUUCUUUGCUUUUCUGUUUGAAAUUGAGAGGUCAAAUAUACUGUUUAGAUUUUCUUGCGCCAAGUUUACAAUUACAGUGGAAUGUUUUGUCCAGGAAGUUGUCUAAAAGGGAUUGAAUUUGUUGCUGCCUAAUUGUUUUUCCGUAGGUUUCCACACUACAUGCCUUCCAUCCAUUGCAUGUCUUAAUAUUAUUCAGUUCUUAUUCAUGCCUCAUGAUUGAGUACUGUUCUGUUCAAGUAGACUGUGAUUUUGCUGUGAUCUGAUAAGGGUGUCAGUGGGCUGACUGUGAACGCUCUGAGAGACUCUGGGUUGAGGUCAGUGAUAAGUAGUCCACAUUAUUACUGCCAAGAGAUAAGCUAUAGGUGUACCUACCACAGGAGUCCCCUCGAAGCCUACCAUUGACUUUGUAUCUCUCUCGCUCUCUCGCUGGUAUGAUAUCUACCCGAGCUUCCUCCAUGGUAAGACAUUUGACUAUAAGAUCCCCUACACCACUGUGCUACGUCUCUUCCUGCUGCCACACAAGGACAGGCAGAUGUACUUCUGAUUCAGUCUAGACCCACCCAUUAAACAGGGGCAGACACGUUACCACUUUCUCAUCCUGCUCUUCUCCAAGGAGGAGGACCUCAGCCUUUCCCUCAACAUGACAGAGGAGAAGCAUUAUGGGGGGAAGCUCAGUAAGAACAUGUCAGGUUCCCUCUAUGAGAUGGUCAGCAGGGUGAUGAAGGCUCUGGUCAACAGGAAGAUCACCGUGCCAGGAAACUUCCUGGGUCCCAGUGUAUGACGUGUUCCUACAAAGCGUGGUCAGGCCUGCUCUAUCCUCUGUAGAGGGGUUUCGUCCACAUACACAAGCCCCCCCCCGUGCACCUGCGCUCCCCAGGAGGUGUCGGUGUGUUAACGUCGCCAGAGGCACCACCACCACGCGCUCCCUCGACUUUGAGAUCGAAACCAAGCAGGGCACCCAGUUCACCCUUCAGCAGCAUCGAGAGGUGACGGAUACACACACACACACACACAUACAUACACUUCUACAUACACACACCUUUGUCACGUCUCGUCUUUCACUCCAUUCUCUCUCUGUUUCUAACCUCUCCGUCCUAGAGGAGUAUGGGAAGCGUUUUGACUUUGUGACCGCCGAGAAGCUCAGCAUCCAGAACAGAGGGUUCAAAGAGGUUAACAUCUCACCUGUAAACUCCACUAUUUCCCUCUUUCAUUAGAUGUUCUUUCAUCCCUUCGUCCACUGACCUGUCCUCUCUGUCUCUCUGUGUCGUGGUCCGGUAGAAAAAGGUUGGUCCUGUACAGAGGUGGGGGUUUGGUUUUAAACUGCAUGGCGUGUGAUUUGGGAGAAUGUUAUGAUCAGGAUUGGGGGUGUUAAUUGCAUUGCCUUUCUCUUAUGGAAUUGUGGGGGUGGGAGGAGUCUAAAUCUGUGUGUGUUAUUACUGAUGGUAUAGCAAAGUAACACCUAACUUGGUAAGUGAGACAACAUUUUCUAUUUUGUUCACUGUGUAUAUUUCCCAAAGUAAGUUAGCAUCUUUACAUGGGUUGUCUGCGUUUUACAACGAAUAAUAUUGCCUUGUAUUACUACAGUACUACUAUGUAUUUACUAUGAUACUACUGUGUAUUUACUAUGUUACUGCUGGGUAUUUUUGUCCUGUCAGGUUAUGAAGGGUAAAGAUGACAUCUUGGAGGACUCAGACGAGGACCAGCACGAUGUCUACCUGGAGAGGAUGAAAGAGGAGGGCAAGAUCAGAGAGGAGGCCAAUGACAGUGAUGACUCCCAUGGAGAGAGCGAUGAGUCUUUUAACCCUGGAGAGGAGGAUGAUGACAUAACGGAAGAACAAUUAAGGGGGGAGACAGUGACAGAGAGAAGAAGAAGAGACCAGCCAAGAAGGCCAAACUGGUGAAGGAGAGGAAACCACGCAAGGACAGUGGCGCCCCCAAGAGGCUAAUGAGCACCUAUUUCCUGUGGCUGAACGCCAUUCGCGAUAGCAUCAAAGCAGAGCACCCUGGGAUAUCAUCACAGAGAUCUCCAAGAGGGCUGGAGAGAUGUGGAGCAGAAAGAGUCUGUCUGUCCGUCCGUCCGUCUGUCUGUCUGGAGUGGAAUGGGAAAGUGGAGGAGGCGAAGAAGGACUAUGAGGGAGUACAGAGAGAGUGGAAGAGGAUCCUCUGCCCCCUCCAAAAAAGUGAGGAAAAAGAAGGAAGGGAAGAGUGAAGAGAAGAAUAAGAAGGUGAAGUCUGGUGGAGGGAGAGAGAGAGGGAGACAGGAAACGACAGCUUUAAGAGCAGGGAGUUCAUCUCCAGCGAAGAGAGCUCCUCAGAGUCCAGACAGUGGCACGGGCAAACGCAAGGGUUCAGAUGAACAAGAGGCGGAGGUGGCCUCGACCCCACCCAGUUCUGACUCAGGAUCGGACUGAGGCACGUCUGAGAGGAGAGAGAGAGAAAGAGAGGGAAGGACAUGGAGAGGGAAAAGAGGGCAAAGUGUGGAGAGGGGUUGUGAACUCCUUUACCGCCCUCUGUUCUUCUCUCACGCAAAUUAUAUGACAUUUUAAAGUACAUGAAGCAAGUAUGAAGAUAAAUACCGACGUAUUCAAAAAUAUUCUGUCCAGGAAUUGUAAAACUAUCCCUCUUAUCUUAGGAAGCAAAAUACCGUAUUUCAUUAUUUUAACCCAGUGCAAAAAUCCCAUAACCUGACCAGUGAUGACUAUAUUUCCCAGCUACACGUGCAUGACACUGCCUGUCGGUUUAGGCUGUGAACAACUCAGGUAAAACCCCUUGCCUACUGUGAAAUGUAGUUUUCCAGAAUAGUACAAAAUUAAAUAUUGUAAGUAAAUGCUC